rnacentral:rRNA from 1 species
AUUGAACGCUGGCGGCAUGCCUUACACAUGCAAGUCGAACGGCAGCACGGGUGAUUGCACCUGGUGGCGAGUGGCGAACGGGUGAGUAAUACAUCGGAACAUGUCCUGUAGUGGGGGAUAGCCCGGCGAAAGCCGGAUUAAUACCGCAUACGAUCUACGGAAGAAAGCGGGGGCACUUCGGGCCUCGCGCUAUAGGGUUGGCCGAUGGCUGAUUAGCUAGUUGGUGGGGUAAAGGCCUACCAAGGCGACGAUCAGUAGCUGGUCUGAGAGGACGACCAGCCACACUGGGACUGAGACACGGCCCAGACUCCUACGGGAGGCAGCAGUGGGGAAUUUUGGACAAUGGGCGAAAGCCUGAUCCAGCAAUGCCGCGUGUGUGAAGAAGGCCUUCGGGUUGUAAAGCACUUUUGUCCGGAAAGAAAUCCUUGGCCCUAAUACGGUCGGGGGAUGACGGUACCGGAAGAAUAAGCACCGGCUAACUACGUG